rnacentral:rRNA from 1 species
AUUGAACGCUGGCGGCAGGCCUAACACAUGCAAGUCGAACGAGUGGCGGACGGGUGAGUAAUGUCUGGGAAACUGCCCGAUGGAGGGGGAUAACCACUGGAAACGGUAGCUAAUACCGCAUACCAUCGGAUGUGCCCAGAUGGGAUUAGCUGGUGGGUGGGGUAACGGCUCACUUAGGCGACGAUCCCUAGCUGGUCUGAGUGGAUGACCGGCCACACUGGAACUGGGACACGGUCCAGACUCCUACGGGAGGCAGCGUUGGGGAAUAUUGCACAAUGGGCGCAGGCCUGAUGCAGCAAGGCCGCGUGUAUGAGGAGGGCCUUCGGGUUGUAAAGUACUUUCAGCGAGGAGGCGUUACCCGCAGAAGAAGCACCGGCUAACUCCGUGCCAGCCGCCGCGGUAAUAC